CCUACGGGAGGCAGCAGUGGGGAAUAUUGGACAAUGGGCGAAAGCCUGAUCCAGCCAUGCCGCGUGUGUGAAGAAGGCCCUCGGGUUGUAAAGCACUUUCAGCGAGGAAGAACGCCUAGUGGUUAAUACCCAUUAGGAAAGACAUCACUCGCAGAAGAAGCACCGGCUAACUCCGUGCCAGCAGCCGCGGUAAU
rnacentral:rRNA from 1 species